UUUAUGAAGAAACAUAUAAAGUAAUCUCCUGCCCAGUGAAUCUAUUUAAACGGCCGCGGUAUCCUAACCGUGCAAAGGUAGCAUAAUAACUUGCCUAUUAAUUGUAGGCUAGAAUGAACGGGGUAACGAAAUAAGACCUUUCUUCUAUAGAAUCAUAAAAACUAAUAUUUAAGUGAAGAAGCUUAAAUACUAUUAAAGGACAAGAAGACCCUAUAGAGCUUUAAUUUAUAAAUAUAUAAUAUUUUACAUUUAGGUUGGGGCAACCAAGGAAUAAAUCAUCCUUUAAUAAAUAAGAUAAACAUAUCUAUAUAAUGAUCCUAAAUUAGAUCACCGAAUCAAGCUACCUUAGGGAUAACAGGCUAAUCCUAUUAUAGAGUCCUUAUCAACAAUAGGGAUUGGCACCUCGAUGUUGGCUUAGAAUAUCUCUAUGACGCAGUAGUCAUAUAAAGAAAGUUUGUUCAACUUAUAAUAUUC
rnacentral:rRNA from 1 species